rnacentral:rRNA from 1 species
AGCGAACGCUGGCGGCAGGCCUAACACAUGCAAGUCGAACGAACUCUUCGGAGUUAGUGGCGGACGGGUGAGUAACACGUGGGAACGUGCCUUUAGGUUCGGAAUAACUCAGGGAAACUUGUGCUAAUACCGAAUGUGCCCUUCGGGGGAAAGAUUUAUCGCCUUUAGAGCGGCCCGCGUCUGAUUAGCUAGUUGGUGAGGUAAAGGCUCACCAAGGCGACGAUCAGUAGCUGGUCUGAGAGGAUGAUCAGCCACAUUGGGACUGAGACACGGCCCAAACUCCUACGGGAGGCAGCAGUGGGGAAUCUUGCGCAAUGGGCGAAAGCCUGACGCAGCCAUGCCGCGUGAAUGAUGAAGGUCUUAGGGUUGUAAAAUUCUUUCACCGGGGACGAUAAUGACGGUACCCGGAGAAGAAGCCCCGGCUAACUUCGUG